AGUGAACGCUGGCGGCGUGCUUAACACAUGCAAGUCGAACGCGAAAGGGGGAGCAAUCCCCGAGUAGAGUGGCGAACGGGUGAGUAAUGUGUGGGUAAUUUGCCUUUCAGCGGGGGAUAGCUCGGGGAAACCUGAGCUAAUACCCCAUAAUGUUGCUUGAUCUUCGGGUCGAGUAAUCAAACGAUGGCCUCUGCUUGCAAGCUAUCGCUGAAAGAUGAGCCCACAUCCUAUCACGCUUGUUGGUGGGGUAAUGGCCUACCAAGGCGACGACGGGUAGCCGGCCUGAGAGGGUGUACGGCCACACUGGCACUGACACACGGGCCAGACUCCUACGGGAGGCAGCAGUGGGGAA
rnacentral:rRNA from 1 species